rnacentral:siRNA from 1 species
ACUAUAGACCCGAAUGUACCAUA